rnacentral:lncRNA from 1 species
UGUGAAUACAAGUCUAUUGAUUCGCAUUUGGAGGAAGAAAAGGAGGGGUGGGGGAAGAGAGAGGAACACAGUCACACAUCGCCUGGCUUCGUGGCUACCAGGGGGCCAUGUUCAGGCGACAGCGCAGAAUUCCAGCUGUGCCUCCUUCCACCCAAGCCCUGCAGUGGCCUGGGCGUCACACCAGCUGCUGCUCUGGCCCCGCCCAGCCUGGGGCCCAUGCCACCAGCCCUGGACAGUCCAGCAGAGAUACCGCACGCAUCUCAGUCAUCACCCCCAUUCACCGACACGCUCAGGCGGGGCUGACACUGACCCUUUGUGUGAGGCUCAAGAUCCAAGGAACUGUUUUCACAGGACAGGCGCUCAGAAGAGGCCGGAGGCCUGCAUUUCCUUAAAGGAUGUGAGAGCCUCCAAGGCCUCGGGAGUUAAGCCGAACCACAGCCUCAUGUCAGGAUGCUCACCUGGAGAUGCCCCUGCUCCCAAGGCUGCACCAUGUCCCCAUCAGGGCAGGUCCUGAAUGUAGCUUUCUUGCUCUUUUUCCUGAGGGGCAUGCCGAGUACUCCCUGGAGUGAACGAUUCCCCCUCCAGUCUUCACCCUGCCUGGGACAUGGAGCUGCUAAGCCAGAGGCCAGGGUCCAAGGAGAGGGUGGUUUGGACAUCUUGGGAGCACCUGGAACAGAGUCUCCCUGACUAGCACCUUUGUUCAUCAUCUUUCAAGGGAGCACAUUCAGAGAUGCUGAUGACUGUGCCAGCUGCCUUCAGUGAGGAGCACGGUAGUUAAAGAUGAAGAAUGGGAGCAUGGCAGGGUUAGGGUGUGGGGAGGGGUUCCCUGGGGAGGUGACAUUUCACCUGAGCCCCGAAGGGUGAGAAGUUAGUCGGGUUAGGACAGGGAGUCCAGGCACAGGACACAGCAUGUGUGGGAAGUGACUGUGCCCACGUGAUGAACUGGAAGACGGCCCAGAUGGCUGGAGGACAUGGAGGGAGUGGACUAGUAAGUGGAACAGGGGCAGUGGGGAGGAGAGGCACCAGCUCCACGGAGACCCACGGCCUCUGCAGAGAAGCCCUGGCUUCGUCCGAGAGUGCUGGGGGGUCGAGGGAGAUUUCCAGGUUGGGGGAAGGGACACACUGGACCCCUUUGCACACUGCACACAGAGGGGCUUUGAGGUGCCCAGAAUAGAUGUGGCCAGUUAGACAUGGAGGUCCAAGGGAGGCUGCAGUUAAAAGCAGAGCUUCUGACUAAGGAUGUCUGAGUGCAGGUGGCGAUCUGUAGAGUUUGCUUCCUCAGGCUCUCGGAAGGGAAACUUCUGCCUCUCCGGGAAAAGGACUGGAGAAUCGCUACCUCUCUGUUUUGUUUUGUUUUGUUUUGUUUUGUUUUUCUUACCACCACAUGAUUAAGACUGACUAAUCAUGGAGAAGACGAAGGUCUGACACGUCUGUGUCCUUGUUUCUUUUCUGGGUAGCUUUAAUACCUCACUGGCUUCUGCUUGUAUGC